UACGUAGGGUGCAAGCGUUAAUCGGAAUUACUGGGCGUAAAGCGUGCGCAGGCGGUUUUGUAAGUCUGUCGUGAAAUCCCCGGGCUCAACCUGGGAAGUUGCGAUGGAGACUGCAAGGCUAGAAUCUGGCAGAGGGGGGUAGAAUUCCACGUGUAGCAGUGAAAUGCGUAGAGAUGUGGAGGAACACCGAUGGCGAAGGCAGCCCCCUGGGUCAAGAUUGACGCUCAUGCACGAAAGCGUGGGGAGCAAACGAGGAUAAAACCCUUGGUAG
rnacentral:rRNA from 1 species